ensembl:lncRNA
GUACAUCUGUCUUUUGACUGGUUUAUAGAUGACAGUUCUAACAACAGCUAUUACCUUCCAAAAGGCUGCAGUAUUGAAACUAAAUCUGACAUGGUGGGCUGGAUGACUAAAGAGGACAAGUAGCAUUUGCAUAUUUUCAAUCCAGGUGCCUGAUUCAAAUGCUCCACUGAAAGCCAUUGCUCCCGGUGGGUUUUGUAGCAGCCUUCUGGAAAUGGAACUGGGACUUUUGGUGUUAUAGUGUAAUGAUUCUGAAGAUAUUUGGUCAGCCUUCUGAGGUCUGCAGGAGGUAAUCAUUCAAUAACGGUGCUAUCAAUAAUACUUAUGAAAAAUCAAGCCUAAUGGUUGUCGGAUGGUGUUUUAUAACACUAGCAGAUAAAAACAGAAGUGCGUGCUGUGCAGGCUUCUUGAAGAAGGUACUUAGUGUGAUCCCAAAUACUUUGUCUGAUUAUACAACACCUGAAAU